AGGCCGGUAUUCCCUUCUGGAGGGACGUUCCUGGAAGCCCAGGAGGCCCCGUGAAAAGGUUUCUCCUCAGCUGUUGGCCUCACAUCAAAGUAAAAAAACAAAACAAAACAAACAAAAGUAUUUCAAGACUCUGAUUCUGCUCUGUUAGAGGAGUCUGGUGGAGGGUCAGUCUUUCUAGAACAGACCUAACUGAGCAUGUGUUUGCAUAUCUGUAUGACAAAGGAAGACCUGGCCUGCUGGAUGCUGACGACUGUGCCAAAGAGAAGUAUAUUAAGUUAGGCUGCAGAGCAGAAGGGGUUUUGACACUGGGCACGCAGCUGGAAGGCAAGCAGGCCUUAACCGCAGCGAGGGCUGCCGGUUGGGAGCUUAGACACACGUGUGCGGGAGCUUGAACUCGCAGACACAUGUGACCGUGAGCCAAGUGAGCCAGCAGACCAUAUGCCUUUUGUGUCUCCAGAGACAAGUGGGUUAACUCGGCCCCAGGAGAAGACUGGCCACAAAGGUCCGCACCAGAGUGGAAUUUUCUCUGCCAGAAAAGCCCGAUUAAAAGGACCGCCUUUGCUGUAUCCCGUAGGUUUUGGACUGAAGUGUCUUCACUCUCGGUUUCCAUGAAUUGUUUGUAAGUUUCUUCUUUGAUUUCCCGGUUGAUCCAAACAUUCUUAAGCUUAUUCCUCUAAAUUUGCUAGAUUAAAUUUUUAAAAUCUCUCUCAAAAUCAGAGCAUAGUCAUUACUUCCCAUAGUCCUCCCCCGCCCCCAGGAUCGAUGUGGACCUUCAUUUCAUGUCUCGGUCUGUUGUAGAUCCCAUCCGCGAGCCCCAUCUGUGGCAGGAGUGCACGUCCCUGCUCGUCCACAAAAUCCAGGCGGUGUCGUCCCAUGCUCCUGAUGGGAGCCUUGGCCAUACAGUGCGUGACUUUGGUCAACGAAAUGGUAAUGGAAAUGGCUCCUGCCCCUCUGAGCAGAAGCUUUAAGAAUCCCCACGUGUCUCUUCCUUCUGUCACAAGACCAGCCGUGACUCAGUGGAGGCGCUCCCUCAGCCUAGGGCCCCGCGGAAAUGCCAGAGGUCACCCGCAGAUGGGUGACUCAGGAGAAACAAUCCUCUUGUGGGGUAAGCCACUGAAAUUUUUUUUUUUUAAAAGGAUUUUUAUUUAUUUAUUUGACAGAGAUCACAAGUAGGCAGAAAGGCAGAGAGAGGAGGGGAAGCAGGCUCCCUGGUGAGCAGAGAGCCCGAUGCGGGCCUCGAUCCCAGGACCCUGAGAUCAUGACCUGAACUGAAGGCAGAUUUUUCAACCCACUGAGCCACCCAGGUGCCCCACAAGCCGCUGGAAUUUAAGAGUGGUUUGCAGUUGUAGUCAAGGUAGCCAACCGUGAGUGCUGAUGAGGUCUUGUGAUAGGUUUGUGAGUUUAAUUUUCCACAAAUGACAUUCGCAUCUCUUGAGUCCUGUGGUUUCCAGCUUAUUUAAAAACUCAGGAAUGGGUGCUGAAUCUUCUCAAAUGUCUUUUCAGUGUCUCUGGUAAUCCUAAUAUGACAUACUUCCUGAAAACCUGUCGAUGUGGUGACUUGAAUGAGUAGAUUUUAAAGUACUGAACCAUUCUUAGAGUCCUGAGACAUCUCCCUGGGUUAUGGGGCCGCACUGGAGUCUCUAUGUUCAGAUGCUUUGUGUGUGUGCGUUCCCUCCUCUUUCCUUAGUGAGAUCAGUGAUUUGACUCGUGUUUUAAUUUUCCCAAAGAUGCAACCCAUGGUCUGUUGUACCGUUUGGAACUGGAGUUUUACUUCAUGGCUUUAUAUGUAGUUUUAUAGAUAGUUCUGUGUAUACAGAACUUUUUAGAGGCACUUUGAAUGAAGGCACAUUCUAUAUGUUUGAAGUAUCUCCAUUGGAUCCAUUUUGAUUAUGUUAAUUUUCUUUAUUAUGUUUAUUUAGCUGGCAUAUAGUAUGCUCUUAACUGGGGUCUUCUAGGUACUAUUUUUUGCCUACUUGUUUUGACAUGGGUAUAAGGUGUUAAGAACAAAGACCUUUUGUUACCAUUCUAUAUAUCUAUUUUUCUUUGUAUUUUCUGUAGUUCCUUAUGAAGUUGGGUUCUGCUUUUAAAAAAAUCUGUGAAUAUCCACUAUACUCAGAUUUUCAUUCUGGAGAAAACUGAUAUCCAUGUUUCUACCCCUACAUGCUUGCUUUUUUGAAUUUCUCUUUUUUGUAAAUAAGGUGAGUUUUCAAAAAAGACUGAUUUGGAUAGGUUAUACAUUUACAUUAUUCAAGACGUCUCCAGUCUCCCUCCCCAACCCUUGACCCCCACUCUUGCAUAUCUGAAAAGGCGUCUUCUUUCUUGUACUGUCGUCUGACUGGUAGCACCUGCCCCCUGACCACUCUUUUUAGUUUCUUACGGACUGUUCCAGAUCAUCUUUUGCCUCUGUAAAUGGGGGAAAAUACAGAGAAGGGGUUUCCCUUUCCCCAUUUUUGUGACAUUGUCAGUAAUGAACAAGACACAUCUUUAUGUUUAUCUGGAUACCAUUUAUUGGAUAUAAUAUUCUUAACAAUGGCUUUCUCUACGGAAACAGGUGGUUACCCGUAGAACCCCAAUAUGAGAAAUGUGUACAAAAGCAACAGACUGUAACGUAAAAGGAAUGUGUAAAAAAAAAAAAAAAACAACUUAGCAAAUGAAAGCUUUAUAAAUGGACAAAGCACGAUGAACGUAAGGAACCGGUUUCGUAGCUAUAAGUGUACUGUGCUAAGUGGCUUGCAGCCAAGUGUUCAAGAUAUUUUACUUAACAGUUGCCGCACACGCUCAAACCAUGGGUCUUCCCCACAACCUCCCAAUUCGACCUGAUAGAAGGCAAAAUAGACCCAUUAGCUUCCUCGUCCUGCCUUGGACUCUUAAGAGGAUUUUCCGUCUUUCCAAUUUGAUACUUUUCGUUUUUCUAUCAGUGUUUGCUUAUAGACCACGGAUAUACAUGUCAUUCUACUUCUUUGUGAAACUUAAAAAGAUCACAAGCUAUUUAUCAUUUUGUCUGGAUUUAAACUGCACUUAAAUUGAGGACUGAAUAUAUUAUUUUCUGGAAGGAGACUCCUGGGGGGAGUGUAAGACAUGUCUUUUGCAGAUGAUAUAGAAAAUCAGGAUGGGUUCCAGAAUAUUCAACCUGGAAGAGCAGAAUCCCACUGAGAAUCCCUUUCACUGUGUGGUAAAUCUCUGGGUUAUCACUACCCGUUAUUGAAUGUUGUAACAAUUUCAUAUGCAGUGUUUUGUCUCCUAGUUUUUCUCCUAUGAAACAGGCUCUCAGGACCGGACUUGUCAGCAGCCACUGCUGUCCCAGGAGCAGAGGGGGGGUUUCCAUCCGCAUGCAGGUAAAUACAAAUGGCUUCUAGAAGCAUCCUCACGGCACAGAAACGGAUCUUAGCCUGGGGCUCACUGAUCUUUCUUAGUGUGUCACUGGUAUCACUAUCGGAGUUUCCAAAAAGGUUUUAAGGGACUAGAUGUGAACAGGAACUGUAGAGUGAGUCAAAGGAACUGUGCCAUCGCGGGUAAAUUGUGCCAUCGCGGGUAAACUGAUCUUCUAGGGUGGGGGAUGUGCCUGUGCGAGGGAUGAUGCUGGAUUCGAAGCUGGGGCACCACUGGUGGGCUUCCUCCAAGCUGCCCCUCUGGAGAAGAGUGGGCUUUGGGCAUCCAGCGGCUGGGCUGGGGGGAGGGUAGCGACACGCCACCACAGCCACACCCACUUGGGUUGACCUACAGUAGCCCUGAAGGCAGAGACUUGUCACAUGAGGGACAUUGGCACUGGGUUUGCUGUGGAAAAGCGGCUGGGCUCUCGGUGAUAAGAGGCAAAUAGAUGUAUUAGCCUCUGCUGUGUCCCGAGGUGUAUAUGGGCCUGUUCCUGAGUCGUGGUGGGGGGACGGGUGACUGUAGCAGCCUGGGGCAGCCUCUGGGGGUGGUGGGGAGGGACAAGAUGGCAGCUGCAGUGUCGCCCACCAGUCAGCCAUAGUGUAUGGAGUCAGACCUAGGGGUCAGCACGGCACCGGGAGACUCCUGGAGAGGGCUGGUACCCUGUUUAUCUGGGUCACUUGUGGCUACCCGGGGUCCUACUGACAGCAGGGAGGAGAGGGCUCCAGAGUGCGUCUGCCCUGGGCCUGCUGCUUCCAGAACACUGAAGGGAGCCCUCCCUUGCAGAAGUUUCCAAUGGAAUCAGCCUCACGAGGAAAGCCCGCCCAGGGGUCAGCUCGCGUGAGAAAGAUCCAGUCCAGCUGCCCAGGCAUCUUGCCCUUUGAGUUAUUAGGGUCGCAUUGGCUCAGAAUGCUUAGUAAACAUCAGCUGAGACGGGAGGAAGGCGCUGGGGCAUUCCAGCCCGCCCAGCGCCAGGCUCUCUGCAGCACCGGGGAGAUCACAGCUUGACACGGGUCAGAGUUUUUGCUGUUUUUCUUUGAGGGCAUGCAGUGAUGGCAUUGUACUGAUUUGCCAGAGAACAAUGGCCUGUGGUUUCAGCCUGAGAAUUCAUAAUAAAGUUAAGAAGGCAUAAAAAUGUCCCCUCUGAGACCAGUCAGGAGUAUUUAUGCUCAUGUAGUUUAAUUUGUUGCUUUUGUGGUUUCUGUGAUGUCAUCCCACAUGUGUAAGCUGGAAAAUUCACACUGGGAAGUGUAACCUCUGUAUGCAUAUUCGGACAAUGGAAAAUGUUAUGCAUUGUUUCUCUUGGUUGCUACACAUCUGAUUCCAUGUGUCAGGGAAACAAACUGUUACCAAAAAAUUCAGGAGAUAAACUUUUAAAGAGAAUGCCUGGAAGAUUAGCCCUAUACUUCCCGGUAAGUGGGGUCAUGUAAGCUACAAUGAUAACAAGACAGGGGAAGGAAAGUGACAACCCUCAGAGCCUGCUUUGGGUCUAGGCACGUUAAAUUUCUCAGUGAUGGCCUUAUAAACUCUAAUCGACCCUUAUUCAUGCCUAUGAAACAUUUAAAAUAUUAAAAAUAGACUGCCAUGGAAAUAAAAGCAUUGAUUUUUUUGUUUUGAUCAUCUAUAAGGCAUAUAAAAAGGGAGAGGUACACCUCCCCACUGCUUCCCCCCUCCCCCCUCAAAAAAAAUCCCUGUGGUUCUUUUAAUUAUAUUAAAAUGGAACGUAUGCUAAAAUGCUUCAGUUGAUAGAUUCUGUAUCUUGGAAGUAUUGUUCCUUUAAUAUCUAUAUUUGUCAAGGGAUGUUAGGUUUAAACAUGUUCGUGCUCAAUAAUAACUUGUAUGGCUCUAUAAACGCAAUUUGGGCUGCAGAGAGAGGGCUGUCUCAUCAGCUGCUGCCCCUAAAUGACCACUGAUGAUUCGUGGCAUCAGAAGAUCACAGCGUUAACCUUUUUUUAAAUACCAAUCUAUUCCCGGUUGUCUGAAAUGGAAACAUAGGAAUUCUAGCUAAGGACAGACAAAAAAGACAAAAUUCACAUCCUCUUCCUGAUAAUAGGAGGAGGGGCAGAAUGACAGAUCUAAGAAUCUGGGCAUCUGUAAAGACAGUACCCACAUAACGCACCAUGAAAUUUCUGUAAACUUUUCAACAGCAUGUGUUUUGGCCUUGAUACAGUUACCAAUGUACUAUCAAUUACAGUAAUUCUGUAGAUGUUCAUCAGCAGUAAUACUUUCUAACAUGGCUUUGCCUUUUUAAGAAAAUAAUAAUUGUAUGAUACACAGACAUACUCUAUAGGGGUUGGAAUGUAUCAGAUCUGGGCUCCCUUUUGUGUGUUUGUGGCACGGAUUUGUUUAGUCUAUCCGUGAUCCAUGAGUACUAUGUUGCCGAGAUACAGUGGGGAACAAGGGGUGAGUUAAAUGCCGUCUUGUUUUCUGGAAGGCAAGCUGAUUCUUGGUCUAUUCCUGGUCUCUGUGCUUCAAGGCCCAGGCAAACUGCUGAAAUGACCCCCCCCCCCCCCGAAGUCUUUAUCAUAAAGCACUCGGACUGAAUUACAGAACUGUGGCCAACUGCUUUCGAGUGUGAAAAGGAGUCACAUAUGACCCGACUACAACACAGAGGUGUAAUGGCAUUUUUACCUUGUCUGAGGAUUUUUGUAAUUUUCGUGCCAUUAGUACAGGCAACUUCAGGAUCUCGUUGUGAAAACGUCUCCCCAGUCAGACAUUUGAAGAGCGAAAGGUUGAAGGAGCCGCUGCCCAAGACCACAUUUCAUGAAUAUUUAGGAUUAAGAAUCUAUUUCCUUAUCACAUUCUGUGAUGCUCAACAGAACUCUCCAUCGUGGCCAUAGGUAUCAGUACAGAUGUCUCCAUGGGAACAGCCCCUGAGCUACUAGGCAUCUGGGACCCGGAGUGGUCCCCAUCCUGCAUGCGUCUACACUGAUGGUGUGUCAAUUCUCCAAAGUGCGCCUGCCAUGACCUGGUGAGCCCGUGCAUGUCUGGGGAGCAGAGCUGGGCAUGUGGGAGCCCUCAGAAACGAGUUCUUCUUCUUCAAGGGCAAGACCAACACCAGCUUGUGCCGGUGCCAGUGGCCGGCAUAGGGGACGACAGGCCACGGCUUGGUGGCAUUUAAAAAGAGAGCUUUCCCCUAAUUGCGUCCGCAUAAAGUGGUGCUUUUUCUUUUGAACUAGAAAAGUAACUUUAAGACUGGCAUACGAACCACAGAGAAAUCAUUAGCAUGCUCUGCAAUCUUUCUGUAUUUCCACAGUCGGGACCGAAACCACAGCUCUGCCCCCUUGACCGGCAUUAUCUCUGGGAUUUAUGAGGCUGCUUGUGCUCUCACAGGCUGAACAUUUUUCCCAAAAGCUGUAAUGACAUCACGAACGUGUUUUCCGCAUUGGAGAUGCUGAAUUAUUGAGCCCAGGGCCUGGCCAACACCCUACCUUUGGUUCCUUGGAGCUCCUACAGCAAGCUUCCUGCCAAGGGGGUAUGCGUGUCAGAAGGGUGUUUUGGCUGCGGGUGUAACCCUACCCGUGGCGGGGAGGGACGGGCGGCCAACAUGAAGCCUCUGUCUGUUUCUAGGGUAUAAAUCCUCUGGCUGUGUGAGCAGGGAGGGGCUGCCCACUGGCCCCCUUCCCUGGCAUUUGCACUAUACCAGAAAUAACUGCUUGUAACCUCCAGAACAUAGGUAAUAGUAAAAGGUUAAAAAAAAAAAGGAGUUUUGAGUCUUUUACGUUUUUCAUGUAACUUUCAUAUAAACGCAUUAGGAGUUUAUAUAAUAGUGGCUC